GGUCAUAGCUCAGUGACAGAACACCUGCUUUGUAUGCAGAAGGUCCCAGGUUCAAUCCCCGGCAUCUCCA